GUAUACAGUAAACUUGCAGGAUGCUGAAUUUUGGACAAGAAGUGUUGGAAUUUGCUACUCAAAGCCCCUCUGUUGUGGAUGUCCCACAGCAGAUACAGAAGGGAGGAGAGCCCAUAUUCCUUAAACACAAUAAAGAAGAGCAGUGGGGAGACCAUCAGCCCUUCUCACAUGGCAGAAUGAAAGCUCCAAGAGAACAGUCAUCUUGUCUAAGUUGUGCAUGGACAGAGGAUCACAACAAGUAUGUUCUAAAAUUUACAUUUAGAUUUCAGAAUAAUUGUAUUCUUUUAUAGUUCAUAGUGAGCUCUGGGAACGGGGAGUGAGUGGAAUAAAAAAAUGAAAACUUUAGUCACAUUCCCCCAAGCACUGACUAACAUGGUGCGAGAAUUUCUGCUGCAAUAAGAAAGCCACUUCCUCUGAGGUAAGG